rnacentral:rRNA from 1 species
AUUGAACGCUGGCGGCAGGCCUAAAACAUGCAAGUCGAGCGGAGAGGCGGACGGGGGAUUACUGCCUAGUAAUCUACAUGGUAGUGGGGGAUAACGUCCGGAGGCAGGCGAUAAUACAGCAUACUAUAAGAUGGGCCUAGGUCGGAUUAGCUAGAUGGUGGGGUAAAGGCCUACCAAGGCGACGAUCCGUAACUGGUCUGAGAGGAUGAUCAGUCACACUGGAACUGAGACACGGUCCAGACUCCUACGGGAGGCAGCAGUGGGGAAUAUUGGACAAUGGGCGAAAGUCUGAUCCAGCCAUGCCGCGUGUGUGAAGAAGGUUUUCGGAUUGUAAAGCACUUUAAGUUGGGAGGCGUUACCAACAGAAUAAGCACCGGCUAACUUCGUGCCAGCAGCCGCGGUAAUAC